UUGACAUCCACGGAAUUUGGCAGAGAUGCCUUAGUGCCUUCGGGAACCGUGAGACAGGUGCUGCAUGGCUGUCGUCAGCUCGUGUUGUGAAAUGUUGGGUUAAGUCCCGCAACGAGCGCAACCCUUAUCCUUUGUUGCCAGCGAUUCGGUCGGGAACUCAAAGGAGACUGCCGGUGAUAAACCGGAGGAAGGUGGGGAUGACGUCAAGUCAUCAUGGCCCUUACGGCCAGGGCUACACACGUGCUACAAUGGCGCAUACAAAGAGAAGCGACCUCGCGAGAGCAAGCGGACCUCAUAAAGUGCGUCGUAGUCCGGAUUGGAGUCUGCAACUCGACUCCAUGAAGUCGGAAUCGCUAGUAAUCGUAGAUCAGAAUGCUACGGUGAAUACGUUCCCGGGCCUUGUACACACCGCCCGUCACACCAUGGGAGUGGGUUGCAAAAGAAGUAGGUAGCUUAACCUUCGGGAGGGCGCUUACCACUUUGUGAUUCAUGACUGGGGUGAAGUCGUAACAAGGUAGGCGUAGAUGA
rnacentral:rRNA from 1 species